rnacentral:tRNA from 1 species
GAUUUAGUAGCUUAAUUAGUAAAAUGCUUUCCUAUUAUAGAAGAAGAUAUUAGUUUAAAUCUAAUCUAAUUUA